AUUGAACGCUGGCGGCAUGCCUUACACAUGCAAGUCGAACGGCAGCGCGGACUUCGGUCUGGCGGCGAGUGGCGAACGGGUGAGUAAUACAUCGGAACGUACCCUGUUGUGGGGGAUAACUAGUCGAAAGAUUAGCUAAUACCGCAUACGACCUGAGGGUGAAGGUGGGGGACCGCAAGGCCUCCCGCAGCAGGAGCGGCCGAUGUCUGAUUAGGUAGUUGGUGGGGUAAAGGCCCACCAAGGAGACGAUCAGUAGCUGGUCUGAGAGGGCGAUCAGCCACACUGGGACUGAGACACGGCCCAGACUCCUACGGGAGGCAGCAGUGGGGAAUUUUGGACAAUGGGGGCAACCCUGAUCCAGCAAUGCCGCGUGUGUGAAGAAGGCCUUCGGGUUGUAAAGCACUUUUGUCCGGAAAGAAAUCGCGCUGGUUAAUACCUGGCGUGGAUGACGGUACCGGAAGAAUAAGCACCGGCUAACUACGUGCCAGCCGCCGCAGUAA
rnacentral:rRNA from 1 species